rnacentral:rRNA from 1 species
CACGGGGGGAGCAAGCGUUGUUCGGAAUCACUGGGCGUAAAGGGCGUGUAGGCGGUCAAGUAAGUGGAAUGUGAAAUGCCCCGGCUCACCCGGGGACCGGCAUCCCAAACUGCUUGGCUUGAGUAUGGGAGAGGAUGAGGGAAUUCCUGGUGUAGCGGUGAAAUGCGUAGAUAUCAGGAGGAACACCGGUGGCGAAGGCGCUCAUCUGGCCCAAUACUGACGCUGAGGCGCGAAAGCUAGGGGAGCAAACGGG